rnacentral:rRNA from 1 species
GAAUUUUGGACAAUGGGGGCAACCCUGAUCCAGCCAUGCCGCGUGAGUGAAGAAGGCCUUCGGGUUGUAAAGCUCUUUCGGUGGGAACGAAACGGGCACGGCGAAUACCCGUGUUCAAUGACGGUCCUCACAGAAGAAGCACCGGCCAACUGCGUGCCAGCCGCCGCGGUAAUACGUAGGGUGCGAGCGUUAAUCGGAAUUACUGGGCGUAAAGCGUGCGUAGGCGGUUGCACAAGCUUGAUGUGAAAGCCCCGGGCUCAACCUGGGAAUGGCAUUGAGGAUUGUGUGGCUUGAGUGCGGCAGAGGGAGGUGGAAUUCCAGGUGUAGCAGUGAAAUGCGUAGAGAUCUGGAGGAACACCGAUGGCGAAGGCAGCCUCCUGGGCCGACACUGACGCUGAGGGCACGAAAGCGUGGGGAGCAAACAGG